UACGAAGGGGGCUAGCGUUGCUCGGAAUCACUGGGCGUAAAGCGCACGUAGGCGGACUCUUAAGUCGGUGGUGAAAUCCUGGAGCUCAACUCCAGAACUGCCUUCGAUACUGAGAGUCUCGAGUCCGAGAGAGGUGAGUGGAACUGACGGUGGAGCGGUGAAAUGCGUAGAUAUCGUCAGGAACGCCAAUGGUGAAGACAGGUGACUGGGCUAGUUCUGACACUGAGGCACGAAAGCGUGGGGAGCGAACGGG
rnacentral:rRNA from 1 species